AGUGAACGCUGGCGGUAGGCCUAACACAUGCAAGUCGAACGGCAGCACAGUAAGAGCUUGCUCUUACGGGUGGCGAGUGGCGGACGGGUGAGGAAUACAUCGGAAUCUACUUUUUCGUGGGGGAUAACGUAGGGAAACUUACGCUAAUACCGCAUACGACCUACGGGUGAAAGCAGGGGAUCUUCGGACCUUGCGCGAUUGAAUGAGCCGAUGUCGGAUUAGCUAGUUGGCGGGGUAAAGGCCCACCAAGGCGACGAUCCGUAGCUGGUCUGAGAGGAUGAUCAGCCAAAAUGGAACUGAGACACGGUCCAGACUCCUACGGGAGGCAGCAGUGGGGAAUAUUGGACAAUGGGCGCAAGCCUGAUCCAGCCAUACCGCGUGGGUGAAGAAGGCCUUCGGGUUGUAAAGCCCUUUUGUUGGGAAAGAAAAGCAGCAGGUUAAUACCCCGCUGUUCUGACGGUACCCAAAGAAUAAGCACCGGCUAACUUCGUG
rnacentral:rRNA from 1 species